rnacentral:rRNA from 1 species
GUAGGUGGCAAGCGUUGUCCGGAAUUAUUGGGCGUAAAGCGCGCGCAGGCGGUCCUUUAAGUCUGAUGUGAAAGCCCACGGCUCAACCGUGGAGGGUCAUUGGAAACUGGGGGACUUGAGUACAGAAGAGGAAAGCGGAAUUCCAAGUGUAGCGGUGAAAUGCGUAGAGAUUUGGAGGAACACCAGUGGCGAAGGCGGCUUUCUGGUCUGUAACUGACGCUGAGGCGCGAAAGCGUGGGGAGCAAACAGGGAUUAGAUACCCUGGUAGUCCACGCCGUAAACCGAUGAGUGCUAAGUGUUAGGGGGUUUCCCGCCCCCUUAGUGCUGCAGCUAACGCAUUAAGCACUCCGCCUGGGGAGUACGGCCGCAAGGCUG